GACGAACGCUGGCGGCGUGCUUAACACAUGCAAGUCGAACGGAAAGGCCCUGCUUUUGUGGGGUGCUCGAGUGGCGAACGGGUGAGUAACACGUGAGUACCUGCCCUUGACUUUGGGAUAACUUCAGGAAACUGGGGCUAAUACCGGAUAGGAGCUCCUGCUGCCUGGUGGGGGUUGGAAAGUUUCGGCGGUUGGGGAUGGACUCGCGGCUUAUCAGCUUGUUGGUGGGGUAGUGGCUUACCAAGGCUUUGACGGGUAGCCGGCCUGAGAGGGUGACCGGCCACAUUGGGACUGAGAUACGGCCCAGACUCCUACGGGAGGCAGCAGUGGGGAAUAUUGCACAAUGGGCGGAAGCCUGAUGCAGCAACGCCGCGUGCGGGAUGACGGCCUUCGGGUUGUAAACCGCUUUCGCCUGUGACGAAGCGUGAGUGACGGUAAUGGGUAAAGAAGCACCGGCUAACUACGUG
rnacentral:rRNA from 1 species